AAGUCGUAACAAGGUUUCCGUAGGUGAACCUGCGGAAGGAUCAUUACCAAGUUUAAUCCAAAAAAACACUCUCAACCCAUGUGCACUAUGGAUUUGUCUUGUCCUUGGGGUGACUUGUUCAGCGGGUCGCCCCAUAUUUGUUAAACCCUUUUAUAUUUUGUCAUGGCAUCUUGAUUUGUCUAAAUUCAAAAAGGACAACUUUUAACGGUGGAUCUCUUGGCUCGU
rnacentral:misc_RNA from 1 species